rnacentral:rRNA from 1 species
GUGCCAGCAGCCGCGGUAAUACGGAGGGUGCGAGCGUUGUCCGGAAUCACUGGGCGUAAAGGGCGCGUAGGCGGUCUGCUAAGCGUGCGGUGAAAGCCUGGGGCUCAACCCCAGGUCUGCCGUGCGAACUGGUGGACUCGAGCACUGUAGAGGCAGGUGGAAUUCCGGGUGUAGCGGUGGAAUGCGUAGAGAUCCGGAAGAACACCGGUGGCGAAGGCGGCCUGCUGGGCAGUAGCUGACGCUGAGGCGCGACAGCGUGGGGAGCAAACAGGAUUAGAUACCCUGGUAGUCC